UCCAAUGAUGAUCAGUUUGUGCUUUGCACGCUGGAAAUUACCGGCUCAGGUUUCGACCGAUGCAGAUAAAAAAGGCUGUUUCUGAUA
rnacentral:snoRNA from 1 species